UUUGGUGGUGGAUUGUUGCUGGCCUUUGGGUAUGUGCACAUCCUCCUCCGAUUUCUAUUCAUCCACCUGUGCACUUUUUGUAGGAGUUCUUUCAUCGGGUUUUUGAAGGGGGCUCUUUAUAAUUUACUUGAAAAAACAAUUUAACAAGGCUCCAAGGUCCUUAUAACCCAUUGAAUUAGGUUAAAAAAGGACCUGGUUAUGGGAACUUUAUGGACCCUUUAACCUUAAAACACCUUUCACCACCGAACCCCUGGCUCCUCCCUCCAAUAAAAAACCCACCAAAUGGCAAAAAUAAAGGGGAAUUGCAAAAUUCAUGGAACCUCCAAACCUUUAAACCCCCUUUGCCCCCUCGGGAUUUCGGAAGGGAUUGCUGGUUUGAUGGCCAUUAAAUUCUCAAUUUUAAAAUUUUUUUAUUUAUCAAAUUUUGUAUGUUGGGGGUUUGCGGGCUUUUGUCCUCCCCUCUUAAUUUGUUUAGGGAAACCCGUGUUUUGUUAUUUCAACCCGUGGUGAGAAAUUUAUCCACUUUUGGGGGAACCCUUAAAAAAAAAAAUCUCUUGUUUUUUGGUUUGUCGCUUUUAUUUCGCUCACUCUGUUCUUUUC
rnacentral:rRNA from 1 species